rnacentral:rRNA from 1 species
GACGAACGCUGGCGGCGUGCUUAACACAUGCAAGUCGAACGGAAAGGCCCUGCUUUUGUGGGGUGCUCGAGUGGCGAACGGGUGAGUAACACGUGAGUAACCUGCCCUUGACUUUGGGAUAACUUCAGGAAACUGGGGCUAAUACCGGAUAGGAGAUCCUGCUGCAUGGUGGGGGUUGGAAAGUUUCGGCGGUUGGGGAUGGACUCGCGGCCUAUCAGCUUGUUGGUGGGGUAGUGGCUUACCAAGGCUUUGACGGGUAGCCGGCCUGAGAGGGUGACCGGCCACAUUGGGACUGAGAGACGGACCAGACUCCUACGGGAGGCAGCAGUGGGGAAUAUUGCACAAUGAGCGGAAGCCUGAUGCAGCAACGCCGCGUGCGUGAUGACGGCCUGCGGGGUGUAAACCGCUUUCGCCUGUGACGAAGCGUGAGUGACGGUAAUGGGUAAAGAAGCACCGGCUAACUACGUG